GCAGUGGCCCAAGGAGUGGACACUGCAGAAGGAUGGAAUCUAAGUGAGAAAUACUCAGUCUAUACAGGAAGGGGCCUGGGCCAUACUGUGUGGAUCCAGAGAGGAAGGGCUGAGAGCUGAGGUAGCACUUGUUAAUGAGGUCACAGGGGUCUCAAGAAACAGCCAAAUGCAAGUCUUCUGAUGCUGUUAUUCAGUUGUCCUUUUCAUCCCACAGUCUUGUCUUCCUUUGGGUAUGGAGGGUCAUGCUUCUCCGGACCUCAGGUAUUACAGUGUUGGCCUGGAUGUGUGAGGCCCCAGGUUCCAUCCACGUGCCACGUGAGCUGGAUGUCGUGGCACAUACCCAGGACCCCUGUGCUCCAGACGUGGAGGCUUGAGGAUCAAGGCCAACCCUGUGUAGCAGGUUCAAGGACAGCCUGGGCGACAUAAAACCCUGAAGAGCUCUAUUUUCCCUUCUGUCAGAGUUUUUAGUCAUGGAAAUAGUUCCAAGUUGAACCAUUUUCAGUUCUAAAAUAGGACAUGGAGUUAGAUGCAUCAUUUCCAUUCGAUUGAUUCAGCAAGAAAAUACUGUCUCCUCAGUAAUUGAGGCAUGUACAUGAAUUCUGGCUGAGUGCAUCAUACACAGAAUCAGAAAGCCUCCCCUGUAUGGCUUUCGGUGCUCUUUCUCCAGUCCUUAGGGGCCAGUGAGCGCUUUCUGGGUACUUGCUUUAUGUUGGCCUCUGGGUCACUUGCUAGACCGAAGAACAGGAUCUCUUCUCUUGAUAACAGUGGUACUACCUCCUCAGUCUACCCCCAGAUAUUAGCUCUUCAGCUGUAACACAGGACUGAUAAUCUCAGAAACCUAGAAGAACUGCUGUAAGGAUUUAAUAAAAUAAUUUGUAGACAGCACCUAGCUCAACCCCUAGCAAGAGCUCAAGGAAAAAUAAUUACUUUUCGGUUCCAAUUUCCAGUAUUAAAAAUCAAGAAAGUGAAUCAAAUACCUAUCUCUAGUCAAACACCAUUCCCGGCUUGCCUCUGCCCUAGAGUACACACUACUGCCCUGUGCUUUAUCUGGGCUUCGUUCCUGUCAGAUCCCUGGGUGCCUGUAGAUGGAACUUUCUUGUAGGUUUUGUUUUAACGUGUAGUGUGUUUAUUCUUUGAGAAUUGCAUACAGUCACACAUGUGUUUUGCUUUUGAUCAGAGUUACCAUCCCAUUCUCCUGCCUAACUUCUGGAUCCACUCCCUACCUCCAUGGCCCCCACUUUAUGACCCUCUCUUUCCUUGUAACCCACUAAGUUUGGUAGCUUCGAAGUGAUGGUAGCUUUCUGUCUAAAGAGGUAAAUAAAAUGUGGUGGAGAUGGUGAUGGUGCCGUUGCUGCCGCCGCCGCUGCUGCCUCCUCCUCCUUCUCUUCCUCUUCCUCUUGUUGUUCCUUCUCCUCUUCUUCUUCUUCCUCCUUCUCCUCCUCCUCUUUUUCUUUCUUUCUUUUUUUUUUUUUUUUUUAAAGCCUGGUUGUUGAG
rnacentral:lncRNA from 1 species